rnacentral:rRNA from 1 species
GACAGAGGGUGCAAACGUUGCUCGGAAUCACUGGGCGUAAAGCGCGUGUAGGCGGCUGUUCACGUCGGGUGUGAAAGCCCGGGGCUCAACCCCGGCAGUGCACCCGAAACGAGAGAGCUGGAGUACUGGAGAGGCGGGUGGAAUUCCCGGUGUAGAGGUGAAAUUCGUAGAUAUCGGGAGGAACACCGGUGGCGAAGGCGACCCGCUGGCCAGUAACUGACGCUGAGACGCGAAAGCGUGGGGAGCAAACAGG